rnacentral:lncRNA from 1 species
UCUAUGUCAUUUACCUUCUUCCAAGGGCCUUAGCGUAAGAACUAGGGACCCCUGCGCAAAUAAAUCGUAGACACGAGGGUUGGUUUGUAAGUUGUUUUCGGUUUAUUGUUUUGAAUCGGCAGAAAUUAGGUUAAACUUUGUAAAUGCACCGUAAAUCGUAGAAAAAUCAGAAAAAUGCCAAACCACUCUUUGUUGAACUCAGUGAACUGUCUAGUUUCAUGCAAAAAUAAUCUUGUCCAUAUUACUGUUGGAAAUAAUACCCUAUGGUUUUAUUUCUUGCUGAGGCCUUUU